rnacentral:rRNA from 1 species
UACGAAGGGUGCAAGCGUUGUUCGGAUUUAUUGGGCGUAAAGCGCGCGCAGGCGGAUUAAUAAGUCAGGUGUGAAAUCUUGGGGCUUAACCCCGAAACUGCGCCUGAAACUAUUAGUCUAGAAUCUUGGAGAGGGAAGUAGAAUUUCGCAUGUAGGGGUAAAAUCCGUAGAGAUGCGAAGGAACAUCAGAGGCGAAGGCGACUUCCUGGACAAGUAUUGACGCUGAGGCGCGAAAGCGUGGGUAGCGAACAGG